rnacentral:rRNA from 1 species
UACAGAGGGGGCAAGCGUUGUUCGGAAUUACUGGGCGUAAAGGGCGCGUAGGCGGCCUUCUAAGUCGAACGUGAAAUCCCUGGGCUCAACCCAGGAACUGCGUCCGAUACUGGAAGGCUUGAAUCCGGGAGAGGGAUGCGGAAUUCCAGGUGUAGCGGUGAAAUGCGUAGAUAUCUGGAGGAACACCGGUGGCGAAGGCGGCAUCCUGGACCAACACUGACGCUGAGGAGCGAAAGCCAGGGGAGCAAACGGG